rnacentral:rRNA from 1 species
GACGAACGCUGGCGGCGUGCUUAACACAUGCAAGUCGUACGGUAAGGCCCUUUCGGGGGUACACGAGUGGCGAACGGGGGAGUAACACGUGAGUAACCUGCCCACAACUUUGGGAUAACGCUAGGAAACUGGUGCUAAUACUGGAUAUGUGCUCCUGCUGCAUGGUGGGGGUUGGAAAGCUCCGGCGGUUGUGGAUGGACUCGCGGCCUAUCAGCUUGUUGGUGGGGUAGUGGCCUACCAAGGCGGCGACGGGUAGCCGGCCUGAGAGGGUGACCGGCCACAUUGGGACUGGGAUACGGCCCAGACUCCUACGGGAGGCAGCAGUGGGGAAUAUUGCACAAUGGGCGCAAGCCUGAUGCAGCAACGCCGCGUGCGGGAUGACGGCCUUCGGGUUGUAAACCGCUUUCAGCAGGGACGAAGCUUUUUGUGACGGUACCUGCAGAAGAAGCACCGGCUAACUACGUG